GUUCGAGGCAGGUUUUUUCCCCAUUCGGGGCGAAACUUUUUUGCCAUCACUACACACGAAUUCUUGGAGUCACGACUUAUACUGAAACAAUUCUGCAUUUUCCAUACUGAGAAGAUUGGAGUUUAAGUGCAUCACGUCUAAAACGCGUGUUUGGUUGAAACUGUAGAAAUAGGAGGGAGAGUUAUAACAGAAAAAAAUCCGGGGUCACGCAAUUAAUCAUUACUCUGAUAUUCAACUACCCUCCCUCCACAGCCCUCUCUUCGGCAGUGAAAUUCGCGGUCAAGUAAAAACAUUGUCAGUGUCAGAAUCUAGAGAGAGAGAAUAUUUCCAUCCAGCGGAUCGGUGAUGGCUUCUUCCUCAGAUCGCGAAACCUUCGUUUACCUUGCCAAGCUCGCCGAGCAAGCCGAACGCUACGAUGGUAAAUCACUCACCCUCGCACAAUUUUUUGGAGAAAUUGAACUUGUGUUAGCCAAUAUCUUGUUCGAGAUACGGACCGAUGAUUAAUUACUAAUUAGAAGGGGCUAAGUUGCAAUCAGCCUUUUAAUUUCGCUUUGUAAGUUAGUAUUUGACUUGAGCUUUAAGGAAUUCAUUAAUUUUUUACUGUAUGUGAUAUAUUCUAAUUUUAAUUAUUCUUUUUGUUAGAAUUGAGAUUUUUCGUAGCUUCUAUUGAACGAAUUAUUUGAAAUCUUUCAAUAUUUUUUUCUUCAAUUUGCUUGUGUCUUUGGUGAUUCAAAUAGUUUAUUAGACAAUUGGAUUUCAUUUUUCUCGUAUCUUGUGAAUAUUGCAUUUUCAUUUGUUGUGUAAUCAAUACAGAAUGAAAAAUAAGCACAAAUCUGAUUUUCUUACAGAGAUGGUGGAAGCGAUGAAGAAGGUGGCAAAGAUGGAUGUGGAGUUGACAGUGGAGGAGAGGAACUUGCUGUCGGUGGGGUACAAGAAUGUGAUUGGGGCUCGGAGAGCUUCAUGGAGAAUCUUAUCUUCGAUAGAACAGAAGGAGGAAUCCAGAGGCAAUGAGCAGAAUGCUAAGCGGAUCAAGGAGUACCAGCAGAAGGUGGAGUCAGAGCUCACCAACAUUUGCAGUGACAUCAUGACUGUCAUCAAUGAGCAUCUCAUUCCUUCAUGUACAGCUGGCGAGUCGACCGUGUUUUACUACAAGAUGUGAGAAUGGUCUUACCCCUCAGUUAUGUUUGAGUGUGACUUUUUGUUUUAUUAGGAGGUUGAAUGGUUUCUGUUGUUUGCAGGAAAGGGGAUUAUUAUAGGUAUCUUGCAGAGUUUAAGACUGGUAAUGAGAGGAAAGAAGUUGCUGAUCAGUCACUGAAGGCAUAUGAGGUAUAUUCUUAAUGUUUUGGGAAUCCAUAAAGCAUAUUGCUUGAGUUCUAUUAUCAGGUAACGUAUUCCACCCGACUUGAUAUAUUGACUGAAAUCCUUUCUUCAAGAAUGCAUAGAAGACUGGAUGGGCAGGACAUAAAUUUGUCUUGGUGGAGAGACAUCAUGUUUGUGGCUCUCGAUGUGUGCCUGACUGUGGUACUUAGGUUUUAUUCAUCUAACAGGAAUUCUAAUUUGUCCUCCAUUCCCUUUAAAGAUAUCGCAAGAGACAUUAUUAAGUUAGGGAAACAAGAAUAGGUCUUAGAAGCAUAUAGGAAUCUUUGCCCAAGAAAGUUGAAAUUCACUAUGUGCCGCUAUCAGUGUUGCAGUGUUGAUCACUCUAUAAAAAUACGUUCACCCAGCUCGUAGUGAUACUAAAGGACAAUAGCAUUAAUUUUAUUUAGUGUAGAGGAAGUAUCUACUGCUUAAGGAUUUGUGCAAAGGCAAGGAUGUGGUGCUUCUUCUCAUCUUUCAGAAAGCUAUUAAAUUUCAUUGCACAAGAUGAUAAAUGUAUUCCAAAUGUUUGACUCAAAAUUACAGAGGUGUACUUGCUUGUAUUUUCCUUAUCAUUCUCAUUCCUUGACUUCUCGAGUUGAUUUGCCUCCGAGCUCAUGAUUUACCACUUUACAUGUCUUGAAAAUUGGGAACCCUGGAUCUUAAUUUGGUAGAGUAGCUUCAUUGCUUCUAUGAUAGUGUUACUUUUGCAUUGUUUGAAAAGAAUUCAGUGAAGCCAUAUAUCAACUUUUUUGGGAGCGUUUUAGGAGCUCUGGCUUUGUGGAUAUCUUAAUGAACUUUCUUCAUUGUUUAGUGAUAUCAAUUUACUCUGAGUCUCUGUCAGUGUGCGUGGGCGUUUUUGUGCAUGCACAUACUUACUUGUACUUCUGGAAUCUGCUUGCAGACAGCGACCACCACAGCCGAGACUGAGUUGCCUCCGACACAUCCCAUUCGUUUGGGUUUGGCAUUGAAUUUUUCUGUCUUUUACUAUGAAAUUAUGAAUUCACCCGAGAGGUUUGUCUUUUACAGUCAUUGUGUUGAUUCCAAUUUUUUUUUCACAUUAUAGUACUCAACAAUCUUUUUUAUUGCAGAGCUUGUCAUCUUGCUAAGCAAGCUUUUGAUGAAGCAAUCUCCGAGCUGGACAAUUUAAAUGAGGAGUCAUACAAAGAUAGCACCUUGAUUAUGCAGCUUCUUAGGGACAAUCUCACAUUGUGGACCUCUGAGAUUCCGGAGGAUGCAGGUACAAUGGCAGUUAUCACAAUAUUACAUGACUCAAAUCUUACUGCAUUUUAAUUGAUUGCUUUUGACCACAGAUUUUAGUUGGUUAUGGGGUGUAUAUUCCCCUGCCUAGGAUUUGAGCGAUCACUGCAAUUUGUAAGAGGAGUGAAUAAAAGUGCACUAUAUAUAUAUUCAGAUUAAUAAGUCUAAUUAAAUGAUAUUUACUUUGAAGGAACUUUCUGAUCUCUUCAUAUUGGCAUCACAAAUUUUGAGAGGUGUUGCCUACUUCAUAAUAUUUCUGCAAACGUCUACCAUGUGAUUUAUUAUAUUAAUAUAAAAUGGUUUGUUUCAUAUAAUGUAUGACAGACAUAUAUUUAAGGGUAAGGAAGUGCAGAACUAAGGAAAUAUGCUUCUACAAGGCUGAAACCUCAGUUUUUAUACAUGAUGAUAUCAUGUCUUUGAGAGGGAAAUGAUAAACAUUAUGGAAACCAACAAGUUAAAUUUUGAAUGUGAUAAUAAAUAAUCCAUGAAAUGUUACAUUUUUCUAACUUUGUUCUGAUUUCCUUUUGUGUGCCUGACAGAAGAAGCACAAAAACUGGAUGCUGCCAAGAAAGCUGGAGAGGGUUCGGAGGUAGGCUGCUUUCGUUUCCUAUAAUUUAUAUGAACUUAUUACACGACUUGAAAUAAAAUAAAAUAAUUUGUGGGUUCAAUCUUUUCGUUGCAGUGAAUCAUCCGAAUGUCAGUUUGGGGGAGGGAGGAUGAUGAUGAUGCAACACACCCCCAGAAUACUUGUUUUUCAUCGCGUGUCUUUGUUAUGGUUUAAUAGUCUGCCUACCCAUCUUCCUUUAUUGAAUGGAGUAGUGUGUGAUUAAACAGGUGGUGUUAUUUUUUCAAUUACUACCUUAGCCUAGAUGGAAGAUUUGUGUGUACUCUCUCUCAGAUUGUUGUCUCUAGAUGCAACUUCUUGUGGAUUUUCCCAACUUAUUCUCAUCAAAGUUUAUGAAUAUGGAAUAUUUAGCUAACGCGGCAAGUGGCCUCCGAGAAUACAAGUUUACAAGAAUGAAACUGGG
rnacentral:lncRNA from 1 species